rnacentral:rRNA from 1 species
UACGGAGGGUGCAAGCGUUAUCCGGAUUCACUGGGUUUAAAGGGUGCGUAGGUAGGUCUGUAAGUCUGUGGUGAAAUCUCCGAGCUUAACUUGGAAACUGCCAUGGAUACUAUAGGUCUUGAAUACUGUGGAGGUUAGCGGAAUAUGUCAUGUAGCGGUGAAAUGCUUAGAUAUGACAUAGAACACCAAUUGCGAAGGCAGCUGGCUACACAAAUAUUGACACUGAGGCACGAAAGCGUGGGGAUCAAACAGG